CAUGGGAAGGCUUAGGAAAAGAAAGUUUAGUACAGUUCUUCCCCUAUAAGAAAGAGGAUGCAGAAUCAAACAGGGGAAGUAACAGGAUUGCCUUGUUGUAUUGAGGGCCCAGUAGGGUAAUUGGAUAACAAAUUCUAAAUGAACCCAAUGAGGAUGAAUUAAGAGGAUUAGGGUAAAAGAAGAGAUGAAACUACUAGGAUCUGAUAAAACAAUUUCAGAGAUUCUGAUCAUAGAAGCUUUCUAAAGAAGGGGCAGCCUAACAGUGUACAGAACGCUGACCUUGAAGUUAAGAAAACCUAGAUUCAAGUUCUACAGCUAAUACAUUUGAGCUAAAUGAUCAUGAGAAUGCCAUUCAACCUCUUAGUGCCCCAGGCUGCAGAAUGAUGUCAGCGACUGGGUUUUACAUUUCUUAAUAUUCCCCCAAAGAAUCUGCUAUAAUGCUUUGCAGAAUUGGAAUAUCUAAUGAACAUGUCAUGAUUGGCAAACAACAAACUAAAUAAUCAAUUCACAAAAAUUGUAAAUGCGUAUAUGGGAACUGUGUUUAAUAAGCAUUAAAAAAAAAAAAAGGAAUGUGCAAACUUUGA